CAGAGGGUGCGAGCGUUGUUCGGAAUUACUGGGCGUAAAGCGCGCGCAGGCGGCCCUUUAAGUCUACCCGUGAAAUGCCGGAGCUCAACUCCGUGCACGCCGGGGGAUACUGGGGGGCUGGAGACAUGUAGAGGCAAGCGGAAUUCCGGGUGUAGCGGUGGAAUGCGUAGAUAUCCGGAAGAACACCUGAGGCGAAGGCGGCUUGCUGGGCAUGAUCUGACGCUGAGGCGCGAAAGCGUGGGGAGCAAACAGGAUUAGAUACCCUGGUAGUCCACGCCGUAAACGAUGGGCACUAGACGCGGGUGGAUCGACCCCUUCCGUGUCGCAGCUAACGCGAUAAGUGCCCCGCCUGGGGAUACGGCCGCGAGGCUG
rnacentral:rRNA from 1 species